CCUUUACUAUAGCUUGACACUGAACAUUGAGCCUUGAUGUGUAGGAUAGGUGGGAGGCUUUGAAGUGUGGACGCCAGUCUGCAUGGAGCCGACCUUGAAAUACCACCCUUUAAUGUUUGAUGUUCUAACGUGGACCCGUAAUCCGGGUUGCGGACAGUGUCUGGUGGGUAGUUUGACUGGGGCGGUCUCCUCCUAAAGAGUAACGGAGGAGCACGAAGGUUGGCUAAUCCUGGUCGGACAUCAGGAGGUUAGUGCAAUGGCAUAAGCCAGCUUGACUGCGAGCGUGACGGCGCGAGCAGGUGCGAAAGCAGGUCAUAGUGAUCCGGUGGUUCUGAAUGGAAGGGCCAUCGCUCAACGGAUAAAAGGUACUCCGGGGAUAACAGGCUGAUACCGCCCAAGAGUUCAUAUCGACGGCGGUGUUUGGCACCUCGAUGUCGGCUCAUCACAUCCUGGGGCUGAAGUAGGUCCCAAGGGUAUGGCUGUUCGCCAUUUAAAGUGGUACGCGAGCUGGGUUUAGAACGUCGUGAGACAGUUCGGUCCCUAUCUGCCGUGGGCGCUGGAGAACUGAGGGGGGCUGCUCCUAGUACGAGAGGACCGGAGUGGACGCAUCACUGGUGUUCGGGUUGUCAUGCCAAUGGCACUGCCCGGUAGCUAAAUGCGGAAGAGAUAAGUGCUGAAAGCAUCUAAGCACGAAACUUGCCCCGAGAUGAGUUCUCCCUGAGACUUAGAGUCUC
rnacentral:rRNA from 1 species